GCUGGGCACAGUGUUGCGUCCCUGUAGUCCCAGCUAUUUGGGAGGCUGAGACAGGAGGAUCGCUUAAGUCCAGGAGUUAUGGGCUGUAGUGUGCUAUGCCAAUCAGGUAUGUCUGCACUAAGUUCAUCAUCAAUAUGGUGACCUCCCUGGAGCGGGAGACCACCAGGUUGCCUAAGGAGGGAUGAACUGACCCAGGUUGGAAACGGAGCAGGUCCAAGCUCCGGUGCUGAUCAGUAGUGGGAUCGCACCUGUGAAUAGCCACUGCACUGCAGCCUGGGCAACAUAGUAAGACCCUAUCUCUU
rfam:Otolemur garnettii contig116848, whole genome shotgun sequence.